rnacentral:rRNA from 1 species
AAAGAGAUUCAUCCUAGCUGCGGAUGAACUCUAGCGGCAUGCUUUGCACAUGCAAGACGAGGGGUAACAGGUUGUGCUUGCACAAUGCUGACGACCGGCGCACGGGUGCGUAACGCGUAUAGAACCUACCUUUUACUGGAGGAUAGCCUUUAGAAAUGAAGAUUAAUACUCCAUAGCAUUAAAUUUUGGCAUCGAAAUUUAGUAGGGGCCCUGAGAGGGGACUGGUACUGAGACACGGACCAGACUCCUACGGGAGGCAGCAGUGAGGAAUGCGAAUUGGCUGCCCUAUGAGGAUGAACGGGUUACUGGAACGGCCGGCGUGCAAGCCGAUGCGUCUUAUGGUUGUAAACUGCUUUUAUACAGGAAGAAACACCCCGACGUGUCGGGGCUUGACGGUACUGUAAGAAUAAGCACCGGCUAACUCCGUGCCAGCAGCCGCGGUAAUACGGAGGGUGCAAGCAUCAUUGGGUUUAAAGGGUCCGCAGCCGGUCAAUUAAGUCAGAGGUGAAACCAUUUCAUUUCCCGCAGCUUAACUGUGGAACUGCCUUUGAUACUGGUUGACUUGAGUUAUACGGAAGUAGAUAGAAUAUGUAGUGUAGCGGUGGAAUGCAUAGAUAUUACAUAGAAUACCGAUUGCGAAGGCAGUCUACUACGUAUAUACUGACGCUCAUGGACGAAAGCGUGGGGAGCGAACAGGAUUCCCAGUCUAGCGAGUGUUGGAGAUACCCUGGUAGUCCACGCCGUAAACGAUGGACACUAGUUGUUGGAAUUAUUCAGCGACUAAGCGAAAGUGAUAAGUGUCCCUCCUGGGGAGUACGAUCGCAAGAUUGAAACUCAAAGGAAUUGACGGGGGCCCGCACAAGCGGUGGAGCAUGUGGUUUAAUUCGAUGAUACGCGAGGAACCUUACCAGGGCUUGAAUGUACUCUGACAGCUUUAGAGAUAGAGUUUUCUUCGGACAGAUUACAAGGUGCUGCAUGGUUGUCGUCAGCUCGUGCCGUGAGGUGUCAGGUUAAGUCCUAUAGCGAGACACCAUAGCCUUGCCGUGCUUGGCUUUUCACAUAACGCGUCCCACGGGUGUUUGCCGGUGCAAACCGAGAGGAAGGUGGGGAUGACGUCAAAUCAUCACGGCCCUUACGUCCUGGGCCACACACGUGCUACAAUGGUAUGGACAAUGAGCAGCCACUACGCGAGUAGGAGCGAAUCUAUAAACCAUAACACAGUUGGGAUCGGAGUCUGCAACUCGACUCCGUGAAGCUGGAAUCGCUAGUAAUCGGAUAUCAGCCAUGAUCCGGUGAAUACGUUCCCGGGCCUUGUACACACCGCCCGUCAAGCCAUGGAAGCUGGGGGUGCCUGAAGUCGGUCACCGCAAGGAGCCGCCUAGGGUAAAACAAUUCAAGAUGAUUAAUACUCCAUU